rnacentral:rRNA from 1 species
UACGUAGGGUGCGAGCGUUAAUCGGAAUUACUGGGCGUAAAGCGUGCGCAGGCGGUUUUGUAAGCCAGAUGUGAAAUCCCCGGGCUUAACCUGGGAAUGGCAUUUGGGACUGCAAGGCUUGAGUGCGGCAGAGGAGACUGGAAUUCCUGGUGUAGCAGUGAAAUGCGCAGAUAUCAGGAGGAACACCAAUGGCGAAGGCAGCUCGCUGGGACGUGACUGACGCUGAGACGCGAAAGCGUGGGGAGCAAACAGG